UUUAUUAUUUUAUUAAAGUGUAGUUGAUUUAUAAUGAUGUGCCAGUUUCUGCUAUAGAGCAAGGUGACCCAGUCAUAUAUAUAUAUAUAUAUAUACACACACAUUCCUUUUCUUAUAUUAUCUUCCGUCACAGCCACGUUCAUUCUUUUGACUGGUAGCAUGGAAUAAAACUGUGGGGGCAUGUACUUCAAAUUCUUUUUUGUGCACCUGUAUGUCUAUUCAGACUAAAUAUGCUUCAGAAGUAAUUAUGGUCUCGUAGGCUUGGAUUUUGGUAAGUUAGUCCCUUAAAGCAGGUUGAGUUAGAGCAGGUUGUAAAUUUUAGAGGGGAGCUUCAGGGCUUAAGAAAAGAAAAUGCCUCCUUUCUGAUUGAGAAUAUCAGAAUUCAGUGUGAAUUACAAAGAUGCACACUCUGAUGCCGAGAGAGACUCUAACCUUCAGGCUUUGGGGGCAUCUGCCAAGUGCAUGAAAGAGAAAAGUUGAGUUCUAAAAAGACACGGGGAAUAAAAGCUUCUGAAGAAGCAUAGAGGAAAAGAGACACAGAGGCAACAAUAGGUGAUUCUUAAUGAAAGGGGCCAGAGGGACCCAGAAUGGCCACAAAAGGUGUGAAACCCCACAGAAUUUCAGCCCCAGCAUAGGCCAGCUAAAGAUCAAGAAGAAAGCUCCCUGUCUGUGCCUUGAUGUUCUCAUUUCUCUAUGGCUGGCCUAGGAAGGUGUCUUUUUCAAGGCCACGUCCCUUCAUGUUCAUCACUAGCCUGUUCAUGAAUGUUCUUUUUUUCUUAACCUUUUGGCAAACCUCUCCUAAAACUCCCCUCCCAAGAAGGGAGGUUUAAAUGACAGGGUUACUGGAGCUCCCUGGUGCUUGAAUGUUAAAGAUCCAGUGUUGUCACUGCUGGGGUGUGGGCUCCAUCUCUGGCCUGGGGAGUUCCUUAUGCCACGGGUGUGGUGGACCAAAAAAAAAAAAAAAAAAAAAAAAAAAUGACAGGGCUAUUUCCAAAAUUUGGAUGAGCACAGGAAGGGCAAAAGGAAAAGCAAAGCCACCUGGGCUCGUAUUUUAAAGACCCCAUUCCCUUUCCCCUAUAAUUAUGCCGUCAGUGUUACCAGAGGUGGAGUUAGCGCCGUCUGUCAUCGACGGGCGCACGUGGGGUAUCCCGCUGCGAAAACUCGGCCACGCCCCUACUACCUGGGAAGAUGCAUUGAUGACAAGCACCAAAACGAAGACAAAAAUCUCGGAAAACCCUUGUGAUCCAAACUAUUUGAUUCUAGAGGGGGACAUGCUAAGGGAGGUAAGCGGAUCCUUUCUAGAAUGUCUGAAGAGGUGACCCAUCAUGUUCUAAAUCUGGGGUGGACCCAGCUGUCCUCAUAUCUAACAGGCCUCCAAUAGUGUCACUGCUACAGCCAUGGGCUCCUGGCGGCCCCCACAUCAGCAUCUACACAGCUUCAAUCUCUCGGCAGGUAAGCACAAACGGUGCUCCUUUAAGCCAGUAGGAGCUUCUUGCACCUUUUCCAAAUGCCUCAGGGUGUGGCGAAUGUAUACUCGCUACCGCAUAGACCAGUCCUUUUGCGGGUCCAUGGAAGUGGAAUGAGAAAGCUGCCCUGAAGACGGCUGGCACUACAGAGGGAAGAGGAGGGAAGUGAAAACUGGCCAUUCAGAUGUGUCUGCCGUCAGAGUGCAUGCAGACUUGGAGUCAGGGAGUCUGGGGGAACUUAGCUCCGCUUCCUGUGAGCCACUCUCUGAGACGUAGGACUCUCAGGCGGGCGAGGGUGGUGAUACACCUACUCGUGACGCUUUGAAAAGCAGAAAUAACAGGGACGGACGUGUUCAGUGACCUGUAAAGCCAUGUGCACAUCUGAGCUGCUCUGGAGGGUUUGGGAGAUGAGCAGGAACCGUUGAGGGUUAUAUGGACAAAGCCCCAGGACCGCUGGUCUGAGCAUGGAGCAUUUCAAGGAAGCAGGCGCACGGACGCAGGGUUAAAAGUGGGGAAACUUGGUAUCACCUUUGGUGACCUUGGAGAGAAUGGGUUCUGCUGAGAGACAGGGUCAGAAGCUAGAUUUUAGGAGAUGAAGGAGAAAGUGGGUGGUAAGGAAAUGGGGGCUCAGGGCUGCCGACCACUUAAUUAAGAAAUCUGCAGUCAAAGGAAGCAAGAAAUGGGACAGUAGCUUGAGGGGGCAGCUUAAAUUCUUACCACACCCCUGGAUAUAGACAUUUUACUGGGGAUCAACGCCUCAUCAAAAGAGCUUAAGUGCUGUUGGUGAAAUUUCAGUCAGCCAGAAGGUGGGGAGCCUCCUCCUUGACACUUGGGGCGUAUUCUGAAAUCCCAGACAUCACACCGCGAAUAGGCACUUGCCUGUUCUGCCAGCACGUGAGGCUGGCCCCACAGAACCGCAGAAUUUGGAGCUCUUCCAACCUCCCCUCUUGCACCUUCAUAUCUUUGGGAAACCAAUCUUUUUGAGUUGUAAAUAGCUGUCGCAAUGUCCCUAAAUGUUAAUUCACAGAAAAGGGGGUGGCACCUGCCUUAGACCUCUGCAACUGAAGCUUUUAUGUCAAAUAGGCAGCCAGGUUCCCCAUCACCGUGGGUCCAUCCCGCCGAGCAUCAGUUCACCACGGCAUCAUCACCCCCUCCAUGUCCCCCACGUACUCACACCAGCCCCUUCCCGUCUCUGCACCUGCGUGUCUGCUGCUCUCCAGGUAACGGCCUCUUCACCCCACCCCUGCCGCCGGCCCCAACCCUGGUUUUCUCCAUCUAAGGGGUUUGGUUCAGUUCGCAGUGACUCGUAAAGGCUGUGUUGCCCACUCCCCCCACGUAUCCUCCCAAACCCUGCAGAUGGACCACCUGUACCAGAGAGUCAGCCCUGACUUAUACAGAGUCAUAUCUGAUGUCUCAAUUGUUCCCUGCCUGGUGGCCCUAUUCUUAAGAGUAGGUGCCACUUCUUACCAUUUUUCAUGCCCUCAAUUCCUAGCUUGUGUGCCUGUGUAGGUGCAUUUCUGAAUGUUGAUUUGUUGAUGGCACACCACACAGGUGUAAAGUUACAGCCACAGGGCCUCCAGGUGCCAAAUUGAUGACGAUGUGCUCAACAUCUCCUACAGGCGUCGCAUAUGGUGACAGCUCCUCGUCGCGCGAGGAUUAAUGUGAGAUGUGGCAGGAGGAUGGUGGCUCGGAAGAGGAAGACAGGAUGGCCGAUGAUGAGGGAGUGUGUCGCUUGUCACCCUGACCUAUCAGGGCACCUGGUUUGAGUUAGGAAGGCUGGAAUUGCCAGAUGGAUCAAUGCUCCCUCCAUUUGUUGCCUUUCAUGCCAGAGAUAUUACCUAUUGAUUUCUGCUGUGCAAAAAUCUAAAAGGAUCUGCUUUGCGGAGUCGAACACAGAAAUGCUGGGUCUCCCCAGCCGACCUGACAGCCCCCAUGUCGUUCUUUUUCUCUCCCACCGCUCCACUGCCCCCCGCCCCAAACGCCCUGGAGGAAGAAUGAAGAUCAAGGCUUCAUGUCAUGUUUCCAAGUUUUCUACGUGUUUUACAAGGUGCAGCUUUAGUUAUUCCCGAAAACACGCCCAUUACGAGGUGAGGCGAUGCUAUUAAACUCAUUCUACUUUAUGGCUCUGGAAGCAGAGGCACAGAAAGGUUAAGUGGCUUGGCAAGGUUGCCCAGCAAUUUGAUGACGAGCGUGCGUUUUAACUCCUGCCUGGCGAGAUCUCACACAGAAGGUUCAAGCAUCAGAGAAUUUUCAGUGUCCGUGCUUGGGGACAUUUAGAAUAACUCAAGGAGGUGGCACCGUGCAACUGGCAAUCGGGUGUGAAUCAUUAUUGUUUAAAUCUUGAACGGAGGAAGUGGGUGGCAUCAUGCAGACAGAGAGUUUUAAGUCGAGAUUUGAAAGAGGGGAGGCUGUGGGUGGCUGGGCAUCCGGCCGGCUCUCAAUAAAUGUUGGGACAUUGCAGCCAAGGGCUUCGGCAGGGAGGUUUGGCAGGCCGGUUCUCCCGCGGCUCCCCAACAAGGAGCCGUGCCUGAGUCGACGAGGCUGUGCAAUGCACUGGUUUAGACGUGUUAGUAUUCUAGCCCCAUCUCCUCCUUUAUGGCUCUUCAUGACUCUAUCUGAUGACAGAGCAGCUCCUCGCCAUUUAAAGGUCAAAUGCCAGUAAUAGAGAGAUGGCGUUUUAUCAUCAGAAGCCUGCAAGCUGAAGGGAGAGGAGAGCUGGAAGGACUGAACCAAGAACAAUGAUGCCCCCUGGUUGAGAUGCCAUGAAAGUGGACCGAACCUUCAAUUAACCCUUCCCAAACACCUGGUCCCUGGGACCAGUUUAUCUGGCUGUGAGCUGGGUUUGGAGCCUGUUUCUCUCCCUCGGAAAUGGAGGGAGCUUCUGGUCUAAUUCUUGGCUCAUCCUGCAAAUGAGAAAUGCCUCCAAACCCCCCAGGGAAUCAGGAUCCCACUGAGAUUCCUGAACACAGAGGCUGUCAGGGGCCCGGGGAGGCAGGAGCAUCAACUGACAGAGACAGUUCUGGUCUAUUUCCCGAAGAUUUUUAAGGAUUAGUCUCCUGGAGGAAGUUUACAGAGAAACGUUUGUUGCAGGGCAGAAUAUUAAUUAUGACAGCAGCAGAGGUGAUGCAGCUUUUUGUCGGAGACUGCUGUAUAGUUUAAAAAUCUUUUUAAAAAUCUGGUCUCUCUCAAAUUUCUUUGACACCAUGAAGGAGCAGAAAAUGUAUGACGUAGGUGACUCCGAGAGGCUAAGUGAAGGGCUCAGGGUCACACAGACAGUAAGUGACCGAGUUGGGACGUCGAGCCCCAAGGAUUUGUUUUUCCAUCCAGCGAUCUUUCUGGAACCCUUACCUCCCAGAAUCAUGAGGGCAGGAUUAGGCUUUGCAGAAGAGGCGAGGCCUCCCUGCCGCCUCAGAGGAAAUUCCUAGCAAUUCCAUCCUGAUCGUGAGGAUGUGGGUGAGCUUGUUUUCUUCCCUCCCCCACCUCUAGUCUCAAAAAAAAGGGGGGGGGGACCUUUAUCCUGAAGAUAAAGUCACGUGGCUCCCCGUGGGCUGGGCGAACACCUCCGGUCGGGAGGCGCCUGGGUGUGUGCGCAUGCGCGGUGUCUUGCUACCCUUUCAUCUGCUUCUGCAUUUGAGCCUCACCAACAAGGGCCCGAGGCGGAUAAGCAUUUCCCCUGAACGAAGGGUGAGGAAUGCAGAACUUAAAGCAGUCCAUAAUCCACCCCUUCCCCCAGACUCACUGCCCCAGGGAGAUGAUCUGGGCGUAAAACCCAAGCUGACCAGUUGUCUAAGCCUCUGUGGAGUCAGGGUGCAGAAUCCUGGGCCGCAGAGCAGAGAGGAAAGGGGCCAGCGGGGGUGGGGGGGUGGGGGGGUGGACCAAGCCCUUGGGACCAGUCCUUGGGCCCGUGGCCUCCCCAGCUUCCCAGACCUGCGUGGUGAGCCUUGGGGCGCAUCCUGCCUUCGUGCGCCUGGAGAGCUUUGCUGACACGGGUCUGGAGCUCUUUGGGCAAAAGGCUAGGGAAUUCAGGCUUUGGAAAAUAAUAGGAGACCCUUGUCCAAAGUCCAAAUCCUUAAAAAAAAAAAGAACUAGUAAAUCAUAUUCAGGGAACAGAGUCGCAGUUUCUUCACUUCUAACAUGGGAACAAGUGUAUACUGCCCGGAGCCGCUGCGACGAUGAAAAUUUACCAGUAAUGACAGGCCUUUGAAACACGAAUGCAUCAUGUUUUUAUUUCCGUCGUUAAUAACCCGCAAAUUUCCCCCUUUCUUUUCAAGUUCAUUUGUAGUCAUGGUUAAAGAGAGCGGGCAGAGGGUGCUCGGAGCAAAACCGUCUUAUUGGAAAUGCUUGUCUUGCCUAUAAAACCCUAGCGCUGACAGGAGGGUGUAUUUCCUCUCUGCUGAGUUCCCUUUAACUGCAAAACCCUCUCCACCUUAGGAAGCUUUGUUCAUGGCAAGCCCUCAACCUUGAAGUCAUCAGGCCUGUAAUUUACCCCCCACGAGGACACGAGAAAAUGAAAUCAAAUAAAUAUUAUUGUUUUUCCUUCCUUUCUUAGCAAAUUACCACCUUCCGCUCCUCUCUUCCCUCAAGCUCUAAUAGCUGGGCAAGUCUGGAACUGAUCUCUCGGCAGAAAAUUCUUUUAAAUCAAAGCGCUGCCCUGCGUGAGACGUUCCCCCAUCCACAAGCCCAGAAACCCUCUUCAGAAAUCAGGAAAUAGAUGCCAAUUUGGCUCCGAGGGAAGGUGCGGGAUCGGGUUCCUCCCGUAAGUGCCGCAUAGAAAAGAUACCUGUGAGCCGGGAAAUAUAAUUUACCCAACAGAACGCUUUCU
rnacentral:lncRNA from 1 species